rnacentral:rRNA from 1 species
GAUGAGCCCAGCUUGCUGGGUGGAUUAGUGGCGAACGGGUGAGUAACACGUGAGUAACCUGCCCUUAACUCUGGGAUAAGCCUGGGAAACUGGGUCUAAUACCGGAUAGGAGCGUCCACCGCAUGGUGGGUGUUGGAAAGAUUUAUCGGUUUUGGAUGGACUCGCGGCCUAUCAGCUUGUUGGUGAGGUAAUGGCUCACCAAGGCGACGACGGGUAGCCGGCCUGAGAGGGUGACCGGCCACACUGGGACUGAGACACGGCCCAGACUCCUACGGGAGGCAGCAGUGGGGAAUAUUGCACAAUGGGCGCAAGCCUGAUGCAGCGACGCCGCGUGAGGGAUGACGGCCUUCGGGUUGUAAACCUCUUUCAGUAGGGAAGAAGCGAAAGUGACGGUACCUGCAGAAGAAGCACCGGCUAACUACGUGCCAGCAGCCGCGGUAAUACGUAGGGUGCGAGCGUUAUCCGGAAUUAUUGGGCGUAAAGAGCUCGUAGGCGGUUUGUCGCGUCUGUCGUGAAAGUCCGGGGCUUAACCCCGGAUCUGCGGUGGGUACGGGCAGGCUAGAGUGCAGUAGGGGAGACUGGAAUUCCUGGUGUAGCGGUGGAAUGCGCAGAUAUCAGGAGGAACACCGAUGGCGAAGGCAGGUCUCUGGGCUGUAACUGACGCUGAGGAGCGAAAGCAUGGGGAGCGAACAGGAUUAGAUACCCUGGUAGUCCAUGCCGUAAACGUUGGGCACUAGGUGUGGGGACCAUUCCACGGUUUCCGCGCCGCAGCUAACGCAUUAAGUGCCCCGCCUGGGGAGUACGGCCGCAAGGCUAAAACUCAAAGGAAUUGACGGGGGCCCGCACAAGCGGCGGAGCAUGCGGAUUAAUUCGAUGCAACGCGAAGAACCUUACCAAGGCUUGACAUGUUCUCGAUCGCCGUAGAGAUACGGUUUCCCCUUUGGGGCGGGUUCACAGGUGGUGCAUGGUUGUCGUCAGCUCGUGUCGUGAGAUGUUGGGUUAAGUCCCGCAACGAGCGCAACCCUCGUUCCAUGUUGCCAGCACGUCGUGGUGGGGACUCAUGGGAGACUGCCGGGGUCAACUCGGAGGAAGGUGAGGACGACGUCAAAUCAUCAUGCCCCUUAUGUCUUGGGCUUCACGCAUGCUACAAUGGCCGGUACAAUGGGUUGCGAUACUGUGAGGUGGAGCUAAUCCCAAAAAGCC